CCGAUAGCGUAUAUUAAAGUUGUUGCAGUUAAAAAGCUCGUAGUUGAAUUUCGGGGUUAGUAGGUUGGUCAUGCCUCUGGUAUGUACUGGUCUCACUGAUUCCUCCUUCCUGAUGAGCCGUAAUGCCAUUAAUUUGGUGUUGCGGGGAAUUUGGACUGUUACUUUGAAAAAAUUAGAGUGUUUAAAGCAAGCUAACGCUUGAAUACAUUAGCAUGGAAUAAUGAAAUAGGACGUUCGAUCCUAUUUUGUUGGUUUCUAGGAUUGACGUAAUGAUUAAUAGG
rnacentral:rRNA from 1 species